UAUUGGAUCCGCCAUUUUGAAUUUUGAAAAACUAACGUCGGAUUUGUAAUCAGCGACCAAAAAAAUCCGCGAGUAACAAAUUUCAGUCAGUUUUAAACACAUCUAGAGAUUUUGGGCAGGUUUUUUGCAAUAAGGCCCACUGUGCUGCGUAACAAUGUGUCAAAAUGAGUUACGCAAAUUUUUUAUAGUAUUUGAUCAAUACUGAAGACAAUAAAAUUUGUUUCACGAAUGUGCCCUGAAAAAAUAAUUAAUUUUUCUAAUAUCUCAAAGUUUAAAAGUUCUAGAGAUAUGCCCAUAUCUAACGGGUUGAAAUAAAUGGUUCUUGUGGAAGCUGUCGUUGGUGAAAUCUCUCUGGGGACAGUUGUAUGUGCUAUCAUCGCCUUGACGACGAGAAUGUCGCACUGGAGAAGGAAAUUUGUAGUAGUCCCUUCAAGUAAAACCACAGAACAAAUCACACACAAUGUACAAAAUCUUGACUGUUGAAAAUGAAAAAGAUUUCUUCAUGUACAUAUCAAAUAUUCAACCAGGAGACAUUUGAAGAAUAUUUCCAAUUUAUUUUAAAUUUUACAAUUUCGUGAAGGAUUCAAAAAUAUUUUCAGAUUGGAUAAACAGAAAGUUCUCAAAAGAAGAAGAAGAAGAAGUCCUCUGAACUCAACUGGCGCUUUUGAAACUUUAUAUAACAUCAUUCAAAAUGAAAUGGAAUCUUCAAGUAUUAAAUUCAAUCCUCGAUGGCUUGUGGUGUCACUUGAAAG